ensembl:lncRNA
AUGUAUACAUAUAGGCAUACACUGGGCUCCAGAAUGUUUAGCAAGGAAACUUUCUCCAAAAUAAUUCUGUUAAAACAAUCACAUCUCACAAAUCUUAGACAGCCCCAGUUUCUAACCUCUGGAGAGUACGGAAUUGUGGUUUUCUCAUGAUAACCAGAGAUGGUGGAAAAGUUAACUACUUGGCAGUAGAUCAUAUUUCUGUAAUAAUCCAAUACACAUUGAACAUUGAUUUGUUUCAGAUUUGGCACAAAAUUAAGCAGCAAAUAAAGACAUUUCUUUAGUCAUCUGACACCACAAACUUCCUUCAAAUGGUACAUUUUCCUUCUUUGUAGCUAAUUUUAAUGGGAAGUCAGGAGACAGUUUUCAAAAAUUUCAACCUCUAAAUUUGCAGGUCUGAAAUUUUGAUCCACAUCCAAAUCCUCUGGCAUUUAACUUCAUUUUCCUGUGGCCAAAGAAAAAGUUGUUUUCAAAAAGAAACAUGUCAUAAGAAAACUUUAUUAAAAAAGGCUCAACCAGCUGUUUAAAACACUACUUUGAUGAUGUCAGUGUAAGUGAAUAAAAAACACAUGGAUUUAAAUUCCCUUCAAUUAUACAAGCCUUUAAAAAUUAAAGAAACUAUGUUAUAAAAAAUGUGUUUUAAGUUUAUUAGCUUAAGAGUCAGUCUUCAUGGUUUCUAAAUAGCCUUGUAUUGGGGGAAUAAUACAAUUAUUUGCUAAACUUGAAGACAAGUGAGUACAUGAUUCAGUAAGAGCCAAGAGGCUUAUGGUUGUGAACCCAAGUGGGAGUGGGUCCCUGUUAACCAGCAAGAAAGCUCACAAAAAUCACCUCGCCUACCCUCCCCAGCAAUACAAGAAUAAUGGAAAGUGAGUGGUAUAUUUUCAACUCACAGUCUCAGCCUCUCUGAUGUUUCAUUUUCUGCUUAAAUGUUCACUUUGCUGUAGUAGAGAUAAAGCUCUGGAUUUUGGAGAACUUGUAUAUUUACCAGUUAUUGAAAGAAAUCUACCAACAUGGAGGUUUUUUUCCAUGUCUUCUAAAAAUCAUGAACUAAUUCUUCUAAAACUGAGGGGGCUUUCACUUAUAUAAAUUGAACAGAAUGACAGACUAUAAGCAGAUUUACUUUUUGAUUCUUAAUACAACAUGACACCUCUUUGCAGAAGAACAUGCGGUGAAGUUUUGACAAAUAACUGCAUUCAUACAUAGACACUAUAACAACAGUGUUUGGAAAGCAUGAUUGGUGGCCCAAAACAGUCAUUGCUUGUUCUUGAUUUGGUGAAAAAUAAAGUGCUGUGCAACUUUAAAAAUGAAGAAACUCCCAUGACAGUCAACUACAUGGAUGACGAUAUUAGAUAUAAAGUGAAAGAAAGAAGGAGAAAGAAGUGCCUACUCAUGGACAAAGGACCAUAAAGUCAUUGUCAGUGACACUUCUCAGUGAGUUUCUGGAAGAGGUAAGGAAAGGCUUUGGCAUUGAUGGAAGGAAUGGCUGCUGAACCACUGGGCAUGUAAUGAACAACUGGGAACUUGUCCUGCCUUCAUCCAUUUAUGGGAAAGAAAAGGCUAUAUGAUACUCAUUUUGCUUCCCAGAAGACCCAUUCCAACUCUACCAAUUCAGAUGAUCCCUUUUCCAAGUCUGGUAAGAGAUGGGAAAAAUUCAGUGUCAUUUCUUCUUCAGGUGAACACUGCAUUUGUUUAUAGGAAAGCUUUGAAAACACUUCCUGGGAUGAAAUUAAGGAAUGACAGGGUGACAGUUUGAUAAAAGACAGAUAACAACCUUCUGGAGAAGGAGGGGCUUUUAUUCAGGGCCUAACUUUUCUUUCUGAGAAAAACGUGAAAGAAAGUGUGAUGGUAAAGAUCAAAUUAGAGGCAAAGUGCUCUGCAUAAUAGAAAAAAGAAUUUGCCAUUCCCUUGAAGAAAUCCAGGAACCUGCUUCCUGUGGAGAAGAAAGGUAAGAGAGGAAAACUCUUGAGGUUCCUCCCUGCUUUUGGCCCUUGAAGAUUUCUUCACACUUAGCUUUGCCUUUAAAGAAAUGUUUGGAUCUUACCCACCGUUUCAAAGUGUUGGAGCAGGAAAGUUUUUUGUGUGAUAUCAUUUUGACAUACUACCAGCAACAGAAAUACUCAGUAUAUUCAAAUUUUGAGCAAAAGCUAUUCACUUUAUUGUAUAUACAAAUUAUAUUUAGCAACAGUCUAUUUUCCUUCCAUCAUCCAAAAUAUAAUUUUUAUGAUAACUGUUAGAGUUGUAAAUCCCAGUAGCUGAAGUAAUAUCAUUACUUUUCUAGAAGUGUGUGAAAUAUAUUAUUAAGCAAACUAGGAGCUGUCACAUUACCAAACCAGAUGCAUUCUUUGGACCAAGGAUCUCUGCAUUUUGACCAGAAAUUACACACAGAUUCUAAACUAUGAUAGUGUGGUCCUCCACUCAACUCCAGAAGAAGUGGAAAAAUAAAAUAAAGAAGGCUCUCACCAAUGGCCAAACACAGGCACCCACCCAGUCUUGAACUUUUAAUUUCAAAAACUGCAAGGAGAGAGGACAUCGCUAUCAAAUUCCUUGUGCAACAUCUAAAAGUCCUUAUUAUAACAAAAUCUGGUCAUUAUAGCUUUUAACUACUGGAUACUAGGCACAAUUAAAAGGAAAAAAAAAGACUCUCACAGGGCAUGUUCCCAGUCAUUUACAAAUUCCAUGCACACAUCAAGUAACUACUGAAGUGCAACUGACAAGAAAAUUGAAGACAGAUUGGAUAAUAAAAGAUACUGAGGAAAGAUAAACAUGGACCAUUUACUUUGGUCAAUAAUUCACUGACACAAAGCUAUUGCCACAUUUAAGUUAUAUUACCAACUAGGAUGUUUGGUGAGUUGAAAUAUUUGCUUUAACCAAUAUUUUAGUUGAUAUAGGUUGAAUUAAUCCUUUACAGUUCAAUUAUUUGUUUAGUAGCUUGGAGGGAGAUUUUCUCAGCAGAGCAUGAUCCCUAUUAUUUUUCAAUUUUUAAAACUCAUUUCCUUUUUUGUCUUAAUUUUUUGCCUACAAAUGCCAUUAAAAUGUGAAAGAAAAGUGGUGAUAGCGGCAUAUUUUUACUGACUUUAAAGGAAAUGCUUCCUAUUUUAUCAAGUAGGAUGUUUCUUUAAAUUUGAGGAAGAAUAACAAAGUGUCCUUUUUUAUCCCAGUUUGCCAAGAAACUUUUGUGAAUGGUGUUAACCUUAAUGC